CACGUAGUUAGCCGUGGCUUUCUGGUAAGGUACCGUCAUAUAACGAGCAUUCCCUCUCGCUAUUAUUCUUCCCUUACAACAGAGCUUUACAACCCGAAGGCCUUCUUCACUCACGCGGCGUUGCUCGGUCAGGGUUUCCCCCAUUGCCGAAAAUUCCCUACUGCUGCCUCCCGUAGGAGUCUGGGCCGUGUCUCAGUCCCAGUGUGGCCGGUCACCCUCUCAGGUCGGCUACGCAUCAUCGUCUUGGUAAGCCGUUACCUUACCAACUAACUAAUGCGCCAUAAGCCCAUCUCAUUGUGAUGUAUCCCAUCUUUAAUUAAUCUAAGAUGCCUUAGAUUAACCUAUCCGGUAUUAGCUGACGUUUCCAUCAGUUAUCCCAGGCAUUGAGGCAGGUUGCUUAUGUAUUACUCACCCGUUCGCCACUAAGAUUCUUCAAAAGCAAGCUUUUAAAGUCUCUUCGUUCGACUUGCAUGUAUUAGGCACGCCGCCAGCGUUCAUCCUGAGCCAGGA
rnacentral:rRNA from 1 species